rnacentral:rRNA from 1 species
UACGUAGGGGGCAAGCGUUGUCCGGAAUCAUUGGGCGUAAAGCGCGUGUAGGCGGCCCGGCAAGUCCGCUGUGAAAGUCCAGGGCUCAACCCUGGAAUGCCGGUGGAUACUGUCGGGCUCGAAUCCGGAAGAGGUGAGUGGAAUUCCUGGUGUAGCGGUGAAAUGCGUAGAUAUCGGGAGGAACACCAGUGGCGAAGGCGACUACCUGGCCUGUUCUUGACGCUGAGGCGCGAAAGCUAGGGGAGCAAACGGG